rnacentral:sRNA from 2 species
GUCCCUGCCCCAAGGACUCCGGCUCCGGCGAGAAGAUCUGCUACAAGUGCCAGCAGCCUGGCCACGUUCAGUCCCAGUGCCCCAGCGCUUAAAUGCGUCAUAAUCGCCAGGUAACACCAACUACCUUUGGCGGCCUCGCUCAUUUGCUGUCUUACCACCCUGAUUUUGCUCACACUUCUCAUCACCGAGAUGGAGGAGCAAGCGGGAUGUACACAGCGGGAAUACUAUUCCGGUGGGACUUGCCCACCUUUAUCCGGACCGCCAGACCAAGCGACUGCGUGGUGAGAAACCACCGGUCAUACCCUCAUUUCCAAAGAUUCGUCGCCCGCCACUCUCGACAACGGGGGACAAGGCAACUUCGAGAACAGCCCGCCGGAAUACAUGACCAUCUACGACCACCGGUUUGCCAUUGCUACGGCUCUAGAUACUGAUCGAAAGUUGCUUUUGCUCUUGUAGCAAUUUGGAAGAAAGUAUGUCGACAUAAUCCCCCAGAUCGAAGACCGAGGGAUUGCCUUGCAGUGAAAAUUUGGGGAGAUCUCCAACAUCCAAUCACGAGAAGCAUCCUGUGAAGAUGAUUAUGUCUUUGUGUGGAUCAGCAUCCUGAUCACAGUACCAAAACAAGCUCCAGAGGUGCUGGCGUUCUCAUCGGCUGCGAUGGAAUCCACAUAGAAUGUUGCGUGGGCUCUACCGCCAAAGAGAUAUUUCCUUUGCAUGUCCCAACGAAGGGUGCGACCACCCCAUUGAGGAAAGUUUUGCUGCCAUUCACGGCUGCCGCGACAUCGGGGUGGACAUUCCAGUUACUUCACGCUAAUCUCCACGAGCUCGGUACCAUCAGGAGAUCAGUACCACGUGCCUUAGGACGCUUACUUGCACCCAUCACUUCGAGCCCAUCACUUCGAGCCUCUUAUCGCGACAUGCCGCUACCAUGCCGGCAUGAACAACACCCUCCCCUCCCUGUCUCUUGCAUAUUGAUUCGCAGUUCACUGUAAUCCACGGGCGGGAUAAAUCUAUUUCCCGACCGACGCACUGAACUCUUCACAGCGGACACUACGCUGCAUUUUCUCGCGUGGCGUUGGGCUAAAUAAGUACCAGCAAUGCCUUGGACGAUUGAACGUGGCCAAUAUUGACCUCCAGAGGCUUUUGACCUUCUCUUAGUGUUACGCGCAGAACACAUACGAAUCAGAACGACUUUACAGGCCCUCCGAGCCACUCUUCGUGGCUUAUUAGCUCUGCCGGAUCAUGCCGCUACCAUGCCGUAAUGCAAUUCGAUCCUGACGCUCCGUAUUGGAAGACCAAGCCUCCUGGUGUCAAAGAAGACGGACCAAUUGACAGGAAAGUACACAAGCCAGGAUACUGGCUCCCCUGCUGUCAACAGUACGGAACGCACGACAAGCUCGGAUGUAGGCUAGGCCCACACAGAGCCGCUGAUGGGGUGCAGGAAAAGGACCUUGAUGGCUGGAAAGGCUACAACGAUUUUCAAGAUGCUGUGGGUGCGCCAAAGAAAUAGUGAGAACAAAAAGGACGGCAGGGCCAACAACGGUCAACGAAGGAAUAAAGGGCAAUGGAACGGAAGUGGCGUGACAAGGUCCAAUAGGCUGCGGGAACAUGUCUCCAUUUUUCAACCUUCCUUACCUUAGAUGGAUAAGCCUUGCCAGGUUGUUAUAAAUGUACGAAAAGGGUUAUUGU